rnacentral:piRNA from 1 species
CAGGGGUCUAAUUUGACAAUGGC